AUACGUAGGUGGCGAGCGUUGUCCGGAUUUACUGGGCGUAAAGGGCGUGCAGGCGGUUUGCUAAGUCUAGGGUGAAAGCUCCCGGCUCAACUGGGAGAGGUCCUUGGAUACUGGCAGACUUGAGGGAGGUAGAGGAAAGUGGAAUUCCCGGUGUAGUGGUGAUAUGCGUAGAUAUCGGGAGGAACACCAGUGGCGAAGGCGGCUUUCUGGGCCUUCCUGACGCUGAGACGCGAAAGCGUGGGGAGCGAACCGGAUUAGAUACCCGCGUAGUCC
rnacentral:rRNA from 1 species